rnacentral:rRNA from 1 species
UACAGAGGUCUCAAGCGUUGUUCGGAUUCAUUGGGCGUAAAGGGUGCGUAGGCGGCGCGGUAAGUCGGGUGUGAAAUCUCGGGGCUUAACCGUGGGCUUGCAGCCGAUACGGGCAGGCUAGAGUUCGGUAGGGGAGACUGGAAUUCCUGGUGUAGCGGUGAAAUGCGCAGAUAUCAGGAGGAACACCGGUGGCGAAGGCGGGUCUCUGGGCCGAUACUGACGCUGAGGAGCGAAAGCGUGGGGAGCGAACAGG